rnacentral:rRNA from 1 species
UACGUAGGGUGCGAGCGUUGUCCGGAAUUACUGGGCGUAAAGGGCUCGUAGGUGGUUUGUCGCGUCGUCUGUGAAAUUCCGGGGCUUAACUCCGGGCGUGCAGGCGAUACGGGCAUAACUUGAGUACUGUAGGGGUAACUGAAAUUCCUGGUGUAGCGGUGAAAUGCGCAGAUAUCAGGAGGAACACCGAUGGCGAAGGCAGGUUACUGGGCAGUUACUGACGCUGAGGAGCGAAAGCAUGGGUAGCGAACAGGAUUAGA